rnacentral:tRNA from 1 species
AGGGGUGUCGCCUAGAGGCCUAAGGCAACAGGUUUUGACCCUGUCAUCGACCGUUCGAAUCGGUCCGCCCCCGCCU